rnacentral:rRNA from 1 species
UACGUAGGGGGCAAGCGUUGUCCGGAUUUACUGGGCGUAAAGCGCGUGUAGGCGGCCACGCAGGUCCGUUGUGAAAACUGGAGGCUCAACUUCCAGACGUCGACGGAAACCGUGUGGCUAGAGUCCGGAAGAGGAGAGUGGAAUUUCUGGUGUAGCGGUGAAAUGCGCAGAUAUCAGGAAGAACACCAAUGGCGAAGGCAGCUCUCUGGGACGGUACUGACGCUGAGACGCGAAAGCGUGGGGAGCGAACAGG